rnacentral:rRNA from 1 species
UACGUAGGGCGCAAGCGUUGUCCGGAAUUAUUGGGCGUAAAGAGCUCGUAGGCGGUCUGUCGCGUCGGCUGUGAAAACCCGGGGCUCAACCCCGGGCCUGCAGUCGAUACGGGCAGACUAGAGUGCGGUAGGGGAGACUGGAAUUCCUGGUGUAGCGGUGGAAUGCGCAGAUAUCAGGAGGAACACCGGUGGCGAAGGCGGGUCUCUGGGCCAAAACUGACGCUGAGGAGCGAAAGCGUGGGGAGCGAACAGG